rnacentral:rRNA from 1 species
UACGAAGGGGGCUAGCGUUGCUCGGAAUCACUGGGCGUAAAGCGCACGUAGGCGGUUUCUUAAGAUUGGUCUUAAAGACCGGGGCUCAACCCCGGGAAUGGAUCGAUAACUGGGAGACUGGAGGACGUCAGAGGAAAGUGGAAUUCCGAGUGUAGCGGUGAAAUGCGUAGAUAUUCGGAGGAACACCAGUGGCGAAAGCGACUUUCUGGGACGUUCCUGACGCUGAGGUUCGAAAGCUCGGGGAGCAAACAGG